GUCAACUACCCCCCCUAAUCGCAAAGCGAUCUAGUGGGGGCUUGUAAAAGCAGGCCAGUUGACCAGCUUGAGUGCUUUGGGCACUACGACAGAGCGGCGAUCACACCCUGGAAUGCGCGAGCCAGUUCCAGGCUCUGUGGAGCGUUAUCAUGCUGCGGCGAGGGGUAAACCGCGAAGGUGGCGUUCUUAACAACCCGCUUUGUCUUUAGCGAGGCUCACGUUAC
rfam:Nitrosococcus halophilus Nc4, complete genome.